rnacentral:misc_RNA from 1 species
GAAGUGGCAGGGAACAUAGAUGACCUUGCUAUUCUACUUUUGUGAAAAUCCUUGCUGGAAUUAGUACCGAUCACAGGAUCCGAAUGAGUUCCAUUGGAAGAGUCCUGAUUGCCGUAAUCUUCAUAAGAGCAAAGAAUGUCAUCGGAACCGAAAUCGAAACCCUUCGAGCCCGAGUUGGCCCGACCCGACGAUCCAGAUGCCAUUUUGGG